GCGCCGGUAUUCAACGGAUCAGAACAGUUGGCCUACACCCAACAGAUGCGGGUUCAACUCCCGAGCGGCGCACCA
rnacentral:tRNA from 1 species